GCAACUUGAGAGUGAAGGAAAGGGAAGCUACUUGAAAAACAAGGCCUAGUCGAAAUGUACGAAAAUCGUCUCUUUAAUUUGAAUAUUUUUAUAGCAAAGUCUUCCGUAACGAUGUGUUUUGUUGUGGCCGCGCCACUAAGGCUGUCUUCAAGCAUUUAGUCAGUCCAUGUAAGGUUACUAAAUGCAAGUAUUGACCAUACUUGUGUGGAAACCUGCUUUAUCCUGUGCUGUGUUUACACUGUACUACAGCAGCAGCUUCAUAGAGAGAAGCAACCCGUCGGACUAACUCACACAUUUACUGGUUCAAUCUCAUCUCUACUGGAUCAAUCUCAUCUGUCUGCAGCACGGCUGACCCAUCACCCCCCUGCCAGACGCCUCUCAGGAUCUGACUGACCUAUAUCUGCUUGCUCGGUCAGUGAGUACAAGCAUUCCACAGAGAAGCAGCUUCCAUCACUUCAGAUCUGUGGGAAAGAGUCAAUGCUCAGUCAGAUGAGAGGACAUGAGGAAAAAGUGCUUCUAAGAUCAACACUUGGGGUUAUGUUGAAACAGAGCCCCAUUGUAACCCAAUUACUGAUGCAAGUAUAUCAAGAAGCACGUGCACAGACAAAACUGGCCACAGCAAUUGGACUGCAACAACUGUUUUGCUUACAUUAUCGGCCCUCCGGGGUCUGGGAGGUAAAUGUGAUGCUGAAAUUAGAAAUGACUCUUCGUGGUGAGGAGCACAAAGGGGCCUUGUAACGCAAUGACUCUGGUAGAUUGACUGAGAGGGAGGGGCUAAAUGAGGCUGUGUCUGUCAGCAGCUCUGCCCGAUUGGCCUGGCUCCAGAGGAGUGUGCGUGUCAAAGAUGCUGGCGCUGGAAGCGUCUGCAUCUGCUCAGAGGUUGCACACUGACGCAGCACUGCAGCAUGUUAUCAAUAUGCUGUGCACUACACAUUUUCCUAAUCUCUUUUAAAUAUUAAAGUGAUGAGCGCUGCAUCAGCAAGAAAUAGUAGGAAGUUAUUCAAAAGUAAAGAUCUGGAGAAACCAAUGCAAGGGUUUGUGUGCUGUUGCCAUGCUGCAUGGCUUCAGGCAUCUGCAAUGUCAGCCCUUCACAUCACAAGCUACCACCAACUCAUACCCACCCUAUUCAGCAACACAAAAGACUCUGUUUGGAUCACACCGAACAUUACACACAGCAGGACCUCCUUCAAUGCUUUGAACAGCUGUGCUUAAUAUUUAUCUUUCUCAGUCUGCUUAUUCAGUCCUGCCUAAAAUGAAAAGGAGAGGAGAUGCAUGCUUUUAAUGACUAGUGCCUCCAUGUAAAGUACUACCGUAGAUUGGCAUUCUGAUGGAUGCUUUGGCCAGGAUGUUCUCAUACUGUAUAUUGCUUUUAGAGAUCCUCUGCAGCAAAAAAUGCUCUUGUGUCGGCUUUUCGUUCCUCUUGAUGUGCUACCGGUGCAGACCCUGUGUGUUUAUUUUAGCACAGCAGAUUGGAGCAUCGUCUCCAUGGCAACUGCUCUGGCUUCACACUGGUAACAAAGAUAGCUUUCACUUAGAAAUGCAGAUAGAUUUCCACCCAUUCAGAAUCUGGCGAUCAGGGUGUAGCGUUUACCACAGUAUUAGAGGAGGGAUUUGGGUGAAAGAUAGACAUGAAUUGCAGUUAAUCUCUUUAGGCAAACAUCUCCCCGGACAAAUGUCACAAGUGUCCUGCAUUAUAGGCGAGGAUCAAAAGGUAGAUGGCUCUGCUAAAUGGGCUCUUUCCUUUAACACUUGCGUAAAUUCAUGGCAAUUUCCAGCUCGUUAAUUGUCUCAGAUAAGUAAUGGGGGCUGAAAUUGCAUUUGUCUGGAAGCUGAAGAUUUCAACUCUCUCCUUUUUGCUCUCUAUUUAUAUUGUUUUAUAUAAAAUAUCAUCACAGCAUUAUCAGAAAAAAAAUUAGUUAAAGGGAUAGUUCGCCCAAAAAUGUAAUGAUGUCAUUUACUUACCCAUAUGUUGUUACAAACCUGUAUAUAUUUGUUUGUUCUGAUAAACACAAAGGAAAAUAUUUAAGGAAUGUUUGUAACUAAACCAAUCGGAAGCCCCAUUGACUUCCAUAGUAUUCUUUUUUCCCAAUAUGGAGGUCAAUGGGGCUUCUGAUCUGUUUGGUAUACAUACAUUCUUCUUUGUGUUCAUCAAAACAAAGACAUUUAUACAGGUUUGUAACAACAUGAGUAAAUGAUGAUAUUUUUGAGUGAACUAUCCCAUGGUGAUCAUAUUGUGACUGGUUUGCAAAUCAAAUAUUUACUUUCCUGCAACAGACACCCAGCUUUCCUGUACUGUUAUUACAGUGUUUCAUUCACUCACAAAUAUACAGACUAGUAUCCACUUACACUCGUGUAACUGUUACAUGAAAAUACAAGGAACAGGGCUGAAUAUACAAAUAUAACUACACUGAAUAGUGUGUUUGAAAACUCCCUUCAUCAUAAUAUUUGCUCUGACAUGCAAAUAAUGCAGGUGAAAAGUCUAAGACAGUUAACCCUUAUGUGUUGUUGGGGCCAUUUUUGUUAUUUUUUUAGUCUUAAUUUGGCCACAACUUUCUCUGUGUCUCAGCAAAUUAAAUGAUUUUUGGUGACAAAUCUUAUAUUUACACAUAUUUUACGAAAAUGCUUUGAACA